AUUGAACGCUGGCGGCAGGCCUAACACAUGCAAGUCGAGCGAGCGGCGGACGGGUGAGUAAUGUCUGGGAAACUGCCUGAUGGAGGGGGAUAACUACUGGAAACGGUAGCUAAUACCGCAUACCAUCAGAUGUGCCCAGUGGGGCGUAGCUAGUAGGUGAGGUAACGGCUCACCUAGGCGACGAUCCCUAGCUGGUCUGAGAGGAUGACCAGACACACUGGAACUGAGACACGGUCCAGACUCCUACGGGAGGCAGCAGUGGGGAAUAUUGCACAAUGGGCGAAAGCCUGAUGCAGCAAUGCCGCGUGUGUGAAGAAGGCCUUCGGGUUGUAAAGCACUGUCAGCAGGGAGGCGUUACCCACAGAAGAAGCACCGGCUAACUCCGUGCCAGCCGCCGCGGUAAUAC
rnacentral:rRNA from 1 species